UUUCUAAGUAAAUAAUCAAUUAGGCAAAACAAAGAUUAAACUGAAGAGUUUGAUCAUGGCUCAGAUUGAACGCUGGCGGCAGGCUUAACACAUGCAAGUCGAACGAUGACUAUCUAGCUUGCUAGAUAUGAUUAGUGGCGAACGGGUGAGUAAUGCUUAGGAAUCUGCCUAUUAGUGGGGGAUAACCAUCCGAAAGGAUGGCUAAUACCGCAUACGACCUACGGGUGAAAGGGGGCUUUUAGCUCUCGCUAUUAGAUGAGCCUAAGUCGGAUUAGCUAGUUGGUGGGGUAAAGGCCUACCAAGGCGACGAUCUGUAGCUGGUCUGAGAGGAUGAUCAGCCACACUGGGACUGAGACACGGCCCAGACUCCUACGGGAGGCAGCAGUGGGGAAUAUUGGACAAUGGGCGAAAGCCUGAUCCAGCCAUGCCGCGUGUGUGAAGAAGGCCUUUUGGUUGUAAAGCACUUUAAGUAGGGAGGAAAAGCUUGUGGUUAAUACCCACAAGCCCUGACGUUACCUACAGAAUAAGCACCGGCUAACUCUGUGCCAGCAGCCGCGGUAAUACAGAGGGUGCAAGCGUUAAUCGGAAUUACUGGGCGUAAAGCGAGCGUAGGUGGUCAUUUAAGUCAGAUGUGAAAGCCCCGGGCUUAACCUGGGAACUGCAUCUGAUACUGGAUGACUAGAGUAGGUGAGAGGGAAGUAGAAUUCCAGGUGUAGCGGUGAAAUGCGUAGAGAUCUGGAGGAAUACCGAUGGCGAAGGCAGCUUCCUGGCAUCAUACUGACACUGAGGUUCGAAAGCGUGGGUAGCAAACAGGAUUAGAUACCCUGGUAGUCCACGCCGUAAACGAUGUCUACCAGUCGUUGGGUCUUUUAAAGACUUAGUGACGCAGUUAACGCAAUAAGUAGACCGCCUGGGGAGUACGGCCGCAAGGUUAAAACUCAAAUGAAUUGACGGGGGCCCGCACAAGCGGUGGAGCAUGUGGUUUAAUUCGAUGCAACGCGAAGAACCUUACCUGGUCUUGACAUACCAAGAAUUCGCUAGAGAUAGCUUAGUGCCUUCGGGAACUUGGAUACAGGUGCUGCAUGGCUGUCGUCAGCUCGUGUCGUGAGAUGUUGGGUUAAGUCCCGCAACGAGCGCAACCCUUUUCCUUAGUUACCAGCGACUCGGUCGGGAACUCUAAGGAUACUGCCAGUGACAAACUGGAGGAAGGCGGGGACGACGUCAAGUCAUCAUGGCCCUUACGACCAGGGCUACACACGUGCUACAAUGGUUGGUACAAAGGGUUGCUACACAGCGAUGUGAUGCUAAUCUCAAAAAGCCAAUCGUAGUCCGGAUUGGAGUCUGCAACUCGACUCCAUGAAGUCGGAAUCGCUAGUAAUCGCAGAUCAGAAUGCUGCGGUGAAUACGUUCCCGGGCCUUGUACACACCGCCCGUCACACCAUGGGAGUUGAUCUCACCAGAAGUGGUUAGCCUAACGCAAGAGGGCGAUCACCACGGUGGGGUCGAUGACUGGGGUGAAGUCGUAACAAGGUAGCCGUAGGGGAACCUGCGGCUGGAUCACCUCCUUAACGAAUUAUCUGAUUAGCAAGAAUUCACAACAAGUUGUUCUUUGGUAAGAUGUUUAAAACGGGUCUAUAGCUCAGUUGGUUAGAGCACCGUGUUGAUAACGCGGGGGUCAUAAGUUCAAGUCUUAUUAGACCCACCAUUUUGGGGUUAUAGCUCAGUUGGUAGAGCGCCUGCCUUGCACGCAGGAGGUCAGGAGUUCGACUCUCCUUAACUCCACCACAUUAAACAUCAAUAAAACAUAACUAAACCUUCUGAUUAAGAAAGUUUAUUUAUGCUUUAUGCAUGACUAAUAUGAACUGACGAAGUUCAUAACACUAUUUAACAACAUGAUUAUGAGUCUGGGUAAUUUAUUUAUUCCAACAAAUAAAUUACCAUUCCAAUCAUACUCCNNNNNNNNNNNNNNNNNNNNNNNNNAGAGUGAUUGGAUAAAGUAAAGAGAACUGAAUCAAGCGUAAACAUAGGUAAAUCGUUACACAUUACCCUUAUGACACCAAGACUACUUGGGGUUGUAUGGUCAAGUAAUGAAGUGCACAUGGUGGAUGCCUUGGCAGUCAGAGGCGAUGAAAGACGUGAUAGCCUGCGAUAAGCGUCGGUGAGGUGGCAAUAUCCUGUGACCCGGCGAUUUCUGAAUGGGGAAACCCAGCCAACAUAAGUUGGCUAUCCUAACCUUUGGUUAGGAGGCAAACCGGGAGAAGUGAAACAUCUCAGUACCCCGAGGAAAAGACAUCAAUAGAGAUUCCCCAAGUAGCGGCGAGCGAACGGGGAGGAGCCGAUCAAACUUGUAGUAGCAAAAUGGCGUGGGAAAGCCAACCAUAGUAGGUGAUAGUCCUGUAUGCGAAACUGCAAAUGCGACAUAUUAAGUAGGGCGAGACACGUGAAAUCUUGUCUGAAGAUGGGGGGACCAUCCUCCAAGGCUAAAUACUCCUGACUGACCGAUAGUGAACCAGUACCGUGAGGGAAAGGCGAAAAGAACCCCUGUUAGGGGAGUGAAAUAGAACCUGAAACCGUGUGCAUACAAGCAGUCGGAGCCCACUUGUUGGGUGACGGCGUACCUUUUGUAUAAUGGGUCAGCGACUUAUAUUCUGUAGCAAGGUUAACCGUUUAGGGGAGCCGUAGGGAAACCGAGUCUUAAUAGGGCGAUUAAGUUGCAGGGUAUAGACCCGAAACCGAGUGAUCUAUCCAUGAGCAGGUUGAAAGUGCCGUAACAGGCACCGGAGGACCGAACCCACUGUCGUUGAAAAGCCAGGGGAUGACUUGUGGAUAGGGGUGAAAGGCUAAUCAAACUCGGUGAUAGCUGGUUCUCCCCGAAAGCUAUUUAGGUAGCGCCUCGGACGAACACCAUUGGGGGUAGAGCACUGUUUCGGCUAGGGGGUCAUCCCGACUUACCAAACCGAUGCAAACUCCGAAUACCGAUGAGUGAUAUCCGGGAGACAGACGGCGGGUGCUAACGUCCGUCGUCAAGAGGGAAACAACCCAGACCGCCAGCUAAGGCCCCAAAUUCCUAGUUAAGUGGGAAACGAUGUGGGAAGGCACAGACAGCUAGGAGGUUGGCUUAGAAGCAGCCACCCUUUAAAGAAAGCGUAAUAGCUCACUAGUCGAGUCGGCCUGCGCGGAAGAUGUAACGGGGCUCAAACUAGGAGCCGAAGCUGCGGAUUUAAUUGUUUCAAUUAAGUGGUAGGGGAGCGUUGUGUAAGCCUGUGAAGGUGUAUCGUAAGGUAUGCUGGAGGUAUCACAAGAGCGAAUGCUGACGUGAGUAACGACAAAACGGGUGAAAAGCCCGUUCGCCGGAAGACCAAGGGUUCCAGUCCAACGUUAAUCGGGGCUGGGUGAGUCGACCCCUAAGGCGAGGCCGAAAGGCGUAGUCGAUGGGAAAUCGGUUAAUAUUCCGAUACUUGUUUAUGAUGCGAUGGAGGGACGGAGAAGGUUAUGUCAGCCUGGCGUUGGUUGUCCAGGUGAAAGGAUGUAGGUAGGUUUAGUAGGCAAAUCCGCUAGACUAUUACUGAGAUCUGAUAGCAAGCCAGUUUACUGGCAAAGUGGCAAAUACCAUGCUUCCAGGAAAAGCUUCUAAGCGAUAGUCAUAAAGAAAUCGUACCCGAAACCGACACAGGUGGUCAGGUAGAGAAUACCAAGGCGCUUGAGAGAACUCUGCUGAAGGAACUAGGCAAAAUGGUACCGUAACUUCGGGAGAAGGUACGCUGCCGAUGGUGAUAAGACUUGCUCUUUGAGCUGUUGGCAGUCGCAGAUACCAGGCUGCUGCAACUGUUUAUUAAAAACACAGCACUCUGCAAACACGAAAGUGGACGUAUAGGGUGUGAUGCCUGCCCGGUGCUGGAAGGUUAAUUGAUGGGGUUAGCGUAUGCGAAGCUCUUGAUCGAAGCCCCAGUAAACGGCGGCCGUAACUAUAACGGUCCUAAGGUAGCGAAAUUCCUUGUCGGGUAAGUUCCGACCUGCACGAAUGGCAUAAUGAUGGCAGCGCUGUCUCCAGCAGAGACUCAGUGAAAUCGAAAUCGCAGUGAAGAUGCUGUGUACCCGCGGCUAGACGGAAAGACCCCGUGAACCUUUACUACAGCUUUACAUUGAACUUUGACCUAACUUGUGUAGGAUAGGUGGGAGGCUUUGAAGUAGGGACGCCAGUUCCUAUGGAGCCAUCCUUGAAAUACCACCCUGGUUAUGUUGGGGUUCUAACUUAGAUGUAACAACAUCAAGGACAAUGUAUGGUGGGUAGUUUGACUGGGGCGGUCUCCUCCUAAAGAGUAACGGAGGAGUACGAAGGUGCGCUCAGAACGGUCGGAAAUCGUUCAAAGAGUAUAAAGGCAAAAGCGCGCUUAACUGCGAGACCCACAAGUCGAGCAGGUACGAAAGUAGGUCUUAGUGAUCCGGUGGUUCUGUAUGGAAGGGCCAUCGCUCAACGGAUAAAAGGUACUCUGGGGAUAACAGGCUGAUACCGCCCAAGAGUUCAUAUCGACGGCGGUGUUUGGCACCUCGAUGUCGGCUCAUCUCAUCCUGGGGCUGAAGCAGGUCCCAAGGGUAUGGCUGUUCGCCAUUUAAAGAGGUACGCGAGCUGGGUUUAGAACGUCGUGAGACAGUUCGGUCCCUAUCUACCGUGGGCGUUGGAAAUUUGAGAGGAUCUGCUCCUAGUACGAGAGGACCAGAGUGGACGAACCUCUGGUGUUCCGGUUGUGACGCCAGUCGCAUUGCCGGGUAGCUAUGUUCGGAUGGGAUAACCGCUGAAAGCAUCUAAGCGGGAAGCCCACCUCAAGAUAAGAUUUCCCUAAAGAGCCGUUGUAGACUACGACGUUGAUAGGUUGGGUGUGGAAGCAUGGCGACAUGUGUAGCUAACCAAUACUAAUUGCUCGUUUGGCUUGACCAUACAACACCCAAGUGGUUU
rnacentral:misc_RNA from 1 species